rnacentral:rRNA from 1 species
GAUGAACGCUGGCGGCGUGCCUAAUACAUGCAAGUCGAGCGAACGGACGAGAAGCUUGCUUCUCUGAUGUUAGCGGCGGACGGGUGAGUAACACGUGGAUAACCUACCUAUAAGACUGGGAUAACUUCGGGAAACCGGAGCUAAUACCGGAUAAUAUUUUGAACCGCAUGGUUCAAAAGUGAAAGACGGUCUUGCUGUCACUUAUAGCUGGAUCCGCGCUGCAUUAGCUAGUUGGUAAGGUAACGGCUUACCAAGGCUACGAUGCAUAGCCGACCUGAGAGGGUGAUCGGCCACACGGGAACUGAGACACGGUCCAGACUCCUACGGGAGGCAGCAGUAGGGAAUCUUCCGCAAUGGGCGAAAGCCUGACGGAGCAACGCCGCGUGAGUGAUGAAGGUCUUCGGAUCGUAAAACUCUGUUAUUAGGGAAGAACAUAUGUGUAAGUAACUGUGCACAUCUUGACGGUACCUAAUCAGAAAGCCACGGCUAACUACGUG